rnacentral:tRNA from 2 species
GGAGGGGUCGCAUAGUUGGCCUAGUGCGCGCGCUUGGAGAGCGUGUAUACCGCGAGGUAUCGUGGGUUCGAAUCCCACCCCCUCCGCCU